rnacentral:rRNA from 1 species
GACGAACCGUGCGAACGUUGUUCGGAAUCACUGGGCUUAAAGGGCGCGUAGGUGGUUUGCCAAGUCGGGGUUGAAAUCUUUCGGCUUAACCGGAAAAGUGGCUUCGAUACUGGCAAGCUGGAGGGAGGUAGGGGCGGAUGGAACUUCCGGUGGAGCGGUGAAAUGUGUUGAUAUCGGAAGGAACGCCGGUGGCGAAAGCGAUCCGCUGGACCUCUUCUGACACUGAGGCGCGAAAGCCAGGGAGCAAACGGG